CAGCUAGUCCACGAGAAGAUCCUCCUUAGAGGCAUUGCGAACUCUAUUGACCUCGGGAGAAGAUCCUCCUUAGAGGCAUUGCGAACUCUAUUGACCUCGGGAGAUGAUGUUGUAGGGCUUGAGGCAGGUCUGCCUUUGUUGCCUUUGCCUUGACCUUUUUUUUUUGUUUUGGCCCGCUUGUAAUUAUUAUAUGAAACAAUUGACUUUUCUUUAAAGAAAGAGUGAAAUCAGAAUAAAACCGAAAUAAACACUAAUAAAAUUUAAAAUUUACUGGAGUAAUAUUUUAUUUAGGUUCACUAAAUCUUUUUCGCUGAAUUUCAGCAAAUCCAAGGAGAGCCCGGUAGCAUGGCACCUUGUCAUAUAUAAAUUUCUUCCCGUGUCCUG
rnacentral:lncRNA from 1 species